UAGCGGUUGCUACGCUUUUGGCAUGUUGCGUUCUAAAACAUAUAUUAAAAAGAACAGAAAGGGCGGCAUUGUAAAAGUUGUUCAAGAUUAUUAUUUAAGGGACGAUGUCUGGUGCGGCUCGGAAGCUUGUUUAGUUUGCCCUAAGAACGCGGCUGUGCUAGAGAUGGCCCCUAGGGGCCCGAAUCCUUGGCUUUUAGUGGUCCACGCCAUUUACUUCCCGACACGAAUAUCAUUGUUUGUCAUCUCCCCGUACUUGCUCACUUUGUUAUUAAAAACCUAAUUAUAACACAAACCGUGCUCUCUGAAGUUAAAAAUCUCAAUGUUUCUAUUUAUGAACGCCUACGUGAAUUGAUGAAGGACCCUUCAAACAAAUUUAUUUCUUUUACAAAUGAACAU